rnacentral:misc_RNA from 1 species
UUCUUCUUCUUCUUCUUCUUCACCCUUGGCCGAACCAUAUCUUCUCCCUUCCACCAUUUUUGUUUCCUUCCAAGCUUGAUCUCACAACAAUUCCAUUAACUUUUCUAUCCAAGAUACCGAAGCAAGACUCCGUCGUUUCCUAGCACAAAUCCCUUUUUAUCGUCAAUAAACUUCACUGAAUAGAGAUUUGCAGCAAUAUUGUCAGCUGCUUUGUCACGAGUCCAUGUUUUACCACCAUUGGUGGUUCUUAAUAGAAUUCCACUGCCACCUGCUGCCCAAGCCUCAUCCUUUGAACGGUACCCAACAUCGAGAAUGCCAAAACCCCGACUUUGUACUGGAAUUUCUUCAAAAUCCUCUGUUAUUCCUGAGCCUUUACUGAGAUAAAGCCCCCCUCCACGGACAAGAAGCCAAAGACCACCAUCAGCUCUCCAUCCCAUGUUUUGAAUUCUUCUUGCAACUGCUCUGUUAUGCGGCUGCCAAAAUGGUUGUCCAGGUUCCCAUGUCAAAUAGAAGUUACCACGGCUUGAGACAGCAACAUAGUUUCCAUCAGGAGAGCGAUUGACUGUGUUAAAAGUUCCAGUAUAGUAACUUGCACCACUAAUACCACUAGAAACUGUUCUAUUAAGGGUUGCCGAAACCGUCUCCUGAACUGCAGCCCUCCAAUUAUAACCCCCAUUUGAUGUGACAUAUAUUGCACCUUGGUCAGUCACCAUCUCUGCACUUUUUUCUCCAGUUGCUUUUAUAUAUACCAUAUCUCCAGGAAGUUGAGCACUGAGAGGUAUCCUCUGCCAGGUUUCUCCAGCGUCGGAGGUGUACAACAAAAUUGCUGGUUUCCCAACAAUCCAUCCCUCUUUUCCUUUGAAGCUAAUGGAAUUGAAUCUGUAGUUGAAAUCCUCAUCUUCAGCUGACGGUAUUGAACGUGAAAACCAAGUAUUUCCACCAUCUUUAGUCUCCAAAAUAGUUUGUCUGGUCCCCAGCAGGAAACCAUGGUUCAUAUCAUUGGGGACGAAGGCGAUAUCCAGGAGGACGACUCCAGGGUCGAUGGGGAGGGAGACUCUCUCCCACUCGGAAAGGGUCUCUUCAGCGUUUACCGGUUGUUGGAUUAGAGGAGCUAGUAAGGGAAGUGAAAUAGUGGCUGUUUGGGAUAAGAAAUGUCUGCGACUGAAGAAGUGGUGGUGGUGGUGGUGGCGGUGGUGGAGAGAGGCCCUGGGACUGUGCGCUAAGCGAGGUUGAUGAUGGAACUGUGGUCUCUUAAAGCAAAGAAUCUUGGUUGUGAAUGCGGA